AGCAUUUGUGUUUGUUUUUAAUUUGUGGUCAAAGACGACAUACAGGUGUGAAAAAGAAAUCCUCUUUUGCAACCCAGAGCUCAUCAUUCAGUAUGAGUUUUGAUACAUAUAAGAAGGAACAUG